AUUGAACGCUGGCGGCAGGCUUAACACAUGCAAGUCGAACGAGUGGCGGACGGGUGAGUAAUGCCUGGGAAACUGCCUGAUGGAGGGGGAUAACUACGGGAAACUGUAGCUAAUACCGCGUACCAUAAGAUGAGCCCAGGUGGGAUUAGCUAGUUGGUGGGGUAAAGGCUCACCAAGCCGACGAUCUCUAGCUGGUCUGAGAGGAUGACCAGCCACACUGGAACUGAGACACGGCCCAGACUCCUACGGGAGGCAGCAGUGGGGAAUAUUGCACAAUGGGGGCAACCCUGACACAGCCAUGCCGCGUGAAUGAAGAAGGCCUUCGGGUUGUAAAGUCCUUUCGGUAGCGAGGCGUUAACUACAGAAGAAGCACCGGCUAACUCCGUGCCAGCAGCCGCGGUAAUAC
rnacentral:rRNA from 1 species